rnacentral:rRNA from 1 species
AGUGAACGCUGGCGGUAGGCCUAACACAUGCAAGUCGAACGGCAGCACAGUAAGAGCUUGCUCUUACGGGUGGCGAGUGGCGGACGGGUGAGGCAUACAUCGGAAUCUACUUUUUCGUGGGGGAUAACGUAGGGCCACUUACGCUAAUACCGCAUACGACCUACGGGUGAAAGCAGGAGAUCUUCGCACCUUGCGCGAUUGAAUGAGCCGAUGUCGGAUUAGCUAGUUGGCGGGGUAAGGGCCCACCAAGGCGACGAUCCGUAGCUGGUCUGAGAGGAUGAUCAGCCACACUGGAACUGAGACACGGUCCAGACUCCUACGGGAGGCAGCAGUGGGGAAUAUUGGACAAUGGGCGAAAGCCUGAUCCAGCCAUACCGCGUGAGUGAAGAAGGCCUUCGGGUUGUAAAGCCCUUUUGUUGGGAAAGAAAAGCAGCAGGUUAAUACCCCGCUGUUCUGACGGUACCCAAAGAAAAAGCACCGGCUAACUUCGUG